rnacentral:rRNA from 1 species
UGGGGAAUUUUGGACAAUGGGCGAAAGCCUGAUCCAGCAAUGCCGCGUGCAGGAUGAAGGCCUUCGGGUUGUAAACUGCUUUUGUACGGAACGAAACGGCGAGCUCUAAUAAAGUUUGCUAAUGACGGUACCGUAAGAAUAAGCACCGGCUAACUACGUGCCAGCAGCCGCGGUAAUACGUAGGGUGCGAGCGUUAAUCGGAAUUACUGGGCGUAAAGCGUGCGCAGGCGGUUAUAUAAGACAGAUGUGAAAUCCCCGGGCUCAACCUGGGACCUGCAUUUGUGACUGUAUAGCUAGAGUACGGUAGAGGGGGAUGGAAUUCCGCGUGUAGCAGUGAAAUGCGUAGAUAUGCGGAGGAACACCGAUGGCGAAGGCAAUCCCCUGGACCUGUACUGACGCUCAUGCACGAAAGCGUGGGGAGCAAACAGGAUUAGAUACCCCGGUAGUCCCUGAGCGGGCUGGCAAGGCGCAU